rnacentral:tRNA from 1 species
GCGGGUGUGGCGGAACUGGCAGACGCACCAGACUUAGGAUCUGGCGCCGCAAGGCGUGGGGGUUCGACUCCCUUCACCCGCA